ensembl:lncRNA
GGGACAGGGCAUCCAAUCUCUCCUCAUUAUCGGCAUCCAGCAGGAGCUCACGGAGCUCUGGAGGCAGGGCUGUACCCAGGAUGUCAUCUGAAACUUCUCCCACCUGAAUAGUACGAUUCUAUGAGGAUGGGAAGGGAUCAGACCUCUGGUGCCGUCCAUCAGCUCUCCCACACACCAUCCAUCCUCAUCCGUGUCUCCAAGGAUAGAAAUGCUUUCUUCAGCCCAGCUCGUUGUCUGAGUUCUCAUUAGGGUCUCAGAAGGAUUGUUGCUAUGACAGGAUAAGAACUUUGGAACUACUGGUGAUAUUCAUCCUGGAGAUUGCAGGUUGCCGAUUGCCAUCUCUCACAUAGGGUAUAAAGGAGGGGUUCUCAGGCAAUGUGAACACCACAAACCUUUUGGGAAGUGUCCCUGUGGUGCUUCCACACUGAUGGACACCUGAAGUCCACCCUGCGAGCUGCAGCUCCUGGCUCUUCAGCUCUGGCUUCUCUGCCUUUUGAAAGGAAGAGAUGCGUUUACACCCCAGUUUCUCUUAACCAGCACUUAUAUCUGUGCUGCAGGAUACCUGGAGGGUGUUCGCCUUAAUGGAACGAAAACAGAGUCCUUCCUCACAGGCACCUGCAAACCUUAUGUACCAAAACAGCACAUAAGUGUAGAGUGGGGAUUCUCAGGCAACAUGAACACCACAAACCUUUUGGGAAGCAUCGCUGUGCUGGGACACCAGGAAGGCGGUACGGGAGGGAGCUCUCAUGAAGAAUCUCCCUGAGCAGAAAGGAAUUAAUGCCUGAGCUGCAGCACAGGAUGAAUAUAUGAUCUAGCUGUCAUUUCAAGACCACAUGAACAACAUCAAGCCCGGAAUUAUGGCGCUUACAGCAGCUUGUGAAGAGCUGAAGGAGACUGAAAGGUUACAGACACGAAAUCAACAGAUUAGAGGAGAACCUCAAUGCAUCUGCUGGCAGAAGUCUGUGAGGAGAAUUCCAGAAUUCUUAACCUUCACAGAUGAUCUGCAGCAUGUUGAGGACGCAGGUAAAGCUUCAGACAAAGCUCUGAAAAGCAACUGACUCAACGAGCAAACAGAGAAUGACAUAAUUUCCCUAAAACAGAAGAUGAGCAUGGUAAGUUUGUAGAGAUGAGAGUCUUUGCUGAGAGUGCAUGUGAACAGUAUGAGAAAAGAUCCAAAAUGUACAACAGCACCAUGAAAUUGUAUGGGAGUCACGUUUGGUGCCACAGAGUGCACUGGGAGGCCCUGUGGGGAGCACUGGGAAGGCAGUAGAGCUCUGGGAGGAGGAUUGUAGGUCAGUGCCAGCUGCUCUGUGCCUCUGAACAGUUCUUGCAGGUUCUUCACUGGUCCAUGCAGGAGUGCUGCUGCUUUCCUGCUGUUCCUGUUGUUGGGCAUUGCAUGGUUUCAAUCCAUUCCCUAUCACUGCUGGGAAAGUGACAGCAGAUAAAAGCAUCAAACAACAGCAAAGAGAGACUGAAAAGGUGGAAACAAAACCUGUGCCACUGUGCAGACGUAAAUGAAACAGGACAGGGAGGAGAUGUGGCCCGGUGCUUCACAGUGGAGAUAAAUAAAUCACUGCAGAUGGAUCCA